GGAGGGAUGGCCGAGUGGUCGAAGGCGCACGCCUGGAGAGCGUGUAGGGGGCAACUCCUCGCGGGUUCGAAUCCCGCUCCCUCCGCCA
rnacentral:tRNA from 1 species